GACGAACGCUGGCGGCGUGCUUAACACAUGCAAGUCGAACGCGCCUGUCCUCUGGGUUUCUGGGGGGUGGGUGAGUGGCGAACGGGUGAGUAGCACGUGAGUAACCUGCCCCCUUCUUCGGGAUAACGGUCUGAAAGGGCUGCUAAUACCGGGUAUUCACUGGUCUCCGCAUGGGGUCUGGUGGAAAGGUUUUUUUCUGGUGGGGGAUGGGCUCGCGGCCUAUCAGCUUGUUGGUGGGGUGAUGGCCCACCAAGGCUUUGACGGGUAGCCGGCCUGAGAGGGUGACCGGUCACAUUGGGACUGAGAUACGGCCCAGACUCCUACGGGAGGCAGCAGUGGGGAAUAUUGCACAAUGGGCGCAAGCCUGAUGCAGCGACGCCGCGUGAGGGAUGGAGGCCUUCGGGUUGUGAACCUCUUUCGCCCGUGGUCAAGCCGCGACGUGGGUCGUGGUGAGGGUAGUGGGUAAAGAAGCGCCGGCUAACUACGUG
rnacentral:rRNA from 1 species